rnacentral:tRNA from 1 species
UGCCUGGUGGUGUAAUGGUAGCACAGCAGAUUUUGAUUCUGCUUGUCUAGGUUCGAAUCCUAGCCGGGUAA